rnacentral:rRNA from 1 species
CUGGCGGCCGUGCCUAACACAUGCAAGUCGAACGGAGUGGCAGAGACAGAUUCCUUCGGGAUGAAGAUUCUGUUUACUUAGUGGCGGACGGGUGAGUAACGCGUGAGCAACCUGCCUUACAGAGGGGGACAACAUUGGGAAACCGAUGCUAAUACCGCAUAACACAUGUACGGAUCGCAUGGUCUGUACAUCAAAGCUUUAUGUGCUGAAAGAUGGCCUCGCGUCUGAUUAGCUAGUUGGUGAGGUAACGGCUCACCAAGGCGACGAUCAGUAGCCGGUCUGAGAGGAUGAACGGCCACAUUGGGACUGAGAUACGGCCCAGACUCCUACGGGAGGCAGCAGUGGGGAAUAUUGGGCAAUGGGGGAAACCCUGACCCAGCAACGCCGCGUGAAGGAAGAAGGCCUUCGGGUUGUAAACUUCUUUUACCAGGGACGAAGAACGUGACGGUACCUGGAGAAAAAGCAACGGCUAACUACGUG